rnacentral:rRNA from 1 species
CCGCGCGAAGGUAGCGUAAUCACUUGUUUUUUAAAUAAAGACUAGUAUGAACGGCCGCACGAGGACCUAACUGUCUCCUUUGUCCAAUCAGUGAAACUGAUCUCCUCGUGCAGAAGCGAGGAUUUUACCAUAAGACGAGAAGACCCUAUGGAGCUUUAAACUUUUAUUAAUUAUUUUCUUCAUCCCUCUUAGGAGCUAACAACUAAUUUAAUCUUCUUAAUAAAAGUUUUGGGUUGGGGCGACCAUGGAGAAAAAAAUAUCCUCCCUGAUGAUAACCUAACUAAGAGCCACAGCUCCAAGUAUUAAGACACUUAACUCCCAUUGACCCAUUUUAUGAUCAACGAACCAAGUUACCCUAGGGAUAACAGCGCAAUCCAUUUCAAGAGUCCCUAUCGACAAAUGGGUU